AGCAAGUGAUUAUUCCAUGCCACUGUUUCACAGUAACUUCACAACUGUUUUAUUUGCAAAACAAAAUCAUUCACAAAUCACAACAUGAACUAAUACUAGAAAGAAAAAGAAAACUUUCAUGGCCAAUUAGAUAGAAUUGCUUGCAUAUUUAGAAAAGAGUAAUCACCCAAAUUUUGGUUUAAAAGAAACAAUUUGGUUUUCAAAAGUAUAUACAUUGUUCUAUUCCACAUAUCUCUAAUAGAAAAGAAAAGAAUAAACUACUCUACUUACUAGUUACUACCAAAAUUUGAUACCUUUUAUCUACCAAUAUGCAACAAUACAAAGGCCAUGAGAUCAAAGGCAUACAGAUCACUACGACUUAGUGAGGAAUAUGAAAGAAUAUAUUCACACAUUAAUAAACAAAAUUUCGAUAUCCAAUUUAAAAAAGAAACUAAAAAGUUAAUUCCUAAAGUGGGUCACAAGAUUUACAUCCUUAAUUAUCACAUGGCUAACCUCAGAGAGAAGGUCCAAGCAUGGUGGUAGAAUCUCUUUGGAAGCAGGGAUUGAGCCAUACUAAACCAAUAGGAGGGAUUGAGCCAUACUAAACCAAUAGGAGCAAUUUUAACAUGGCAGGUUUAACAUGACAGGAGCAGUUUUAACAUGGCAGGUUUUCAUCUUCGACUCAAUGAACAAUUUAUUAAAUCAACAACAGCAAAAACACAAUAUAACAAUCAAAAGGUAAAGAACAACACCAAAACAAUAAUUUAUCAAAUUAAAAAGUUAAUAAGAUCAAUUAAAACUGAAAAUCAAAAUAACAAGAACAAUUAAAAUUUUAAACUACAGCAAACCAACAACAAAAUAAGAACUAGAAAACAUACUAAUCAUGAAAACAACAAUCAAAUAAAACAAUAUCUGAAUAAUUAAUACAAGAAAGAACAAGAAGAAGGAGAAAAAAUCACCCUACGAUAGAGCAGUUCUGAAAUUCAAACAGUACAGGGAGAGGGAGAAGCUUUAAAACGCGACGGAAAUGGCUGAGCGGAGGCUGAACAAUGGCUGAACGGUGGCUAAAAGGCAGCGGAACAGAGGCUCGAACACGCGGCGUAGAGAACUGAACAGAGAGCUAAGCAGCUCGAACAAGGGUUGGCCACAAAACAGAGGCAGAACCACAGAAGCUUGGCCAAAAAGGAGGCGGACGCGCGGCGAACAAGGGCGACGUUGCGCCGAAGCUGUAGCAAUGCGGAUGGCGGCGGUGGCUGGACGUUGAGGAACGGCGGCGAGAGAGGGCUGCUAUGGUGCUUCCUCCAAGCUGCGUUCGAGUUCUCUUCGAUUCCAAGAGGGUGCUGCGGGUUAAUGGUUAGGGUUCCU
rnacentral:lncRNA from 1 species